rnacentral:rRNA from 1 species
ACAGCAGUCGCCGCGGGAAUACGUAGGGUGCGGGCGUUAAUCGGAAUUACUGGGCGUAAAGCGUGCGCAGGCGGUUGUGUAAGACAGGUGUGAAAUCCCCGGGCUUAACCUGGGAACUGCGCUUGUGACUGCACAGCUAGAGUAUGGCAGAAGGGGGUGGAAUUCCACGUGUAGCAGUGAAAUGCGUAGAGAUGUGGAGGAACACCGAUGGCGAAGGCAGCCCCCUGGGCCAAUACUGACGCUCAUGCACGAAAGCGUGGGGAGCAAACAGGAUUAGAUACCCCUGUAGUCCCUGUCUCUUAUAC